CACAAGCAGGGGGAGUGGGAGAGGGAGAAGCAGACUCCCCGCGGAGCAGGGAGCCCGAUGCGGGGCUCGAUCCCAGGACCCUGGGAUCACGACCUGAGCUGAAGGCAGACGCUUAACGACUGAGCCACCCAGGCGCCCCAACAACGUUCAUCGUUGGGCAAGGUACGCGCAUCACACCUGCAUCCCCUUCAGGUUAACAGAAGCGACACAAUGAAGAGCAGACUGUCGUAUGCCCGGGGCCAUGCUGGACUCCAGAGACUCUGCAUGGGGCUCCCCACGAGCCAGAGUCAACCAGAAGCCAGGUCCACACGGCCAGCCUCCCGGGUCAGAGAGCAGAACAGAGAAGGGAGUGCCCCUGGAGCAGCAAACAGCACCAGCCCAGGCCUCGGGCACACAAAAGAGCCUGAGGAUGAUGCCCAGCUCCCCACCUGGGAGGGACUCACAAGUCCUGAGGCAAGGAACAAGAUGGUAUUACACAAAUCCGCAAACCCUUUCCAUGAUUCCCAAACAUUUCCAACAAAAUGGGCCUGGGGGGAAGGGUUUUUUUAAAUUCUUCUGUUCCCCUCUGGCUCCCAUCCCUUCUUCAGGCUGCGAGCCACCUUGCCAUCCCAUGAAUGUCAUCUCUGUCAGCACUGCGCAGAUCCAGACCUAAAAUGCAGCGCCCUCCUCAAAUUCCACAGAAAGCAUCCACUCACAGCGGAUAGAUUUGGUGUUCAGUAGAUUGCACUGAAGACUUAGAGGGAGUCCAAAGAAGAGUUUACAACAUAAAGAACAUCAAGUUCAACAAGACACCCUUGUCCUUGGAAGCCCUUCCGGCGCCCUAGCCAUGUGGAACGCUUCAAGGACCACCUAAUGCCCUAUAUUUCCACCGCCUCCCACCAAGUCCUCCUGCCUCUCCCUCGUCUCCCCCUUCCUCUCAUACUCUUCUACAACAGCACAGAAAUGCCCCACGGGGAGCAGUUCACCAUUUCCUUCUGGGCCUCUGCAGGACCAGUCAACACGCAAGCCCUCCAGCUCUCAGCUUCGUCCCUGAGAGACUUCGUGGAGGGCUCUGCCUGCCAGAGCCAGCUCCCUUCCAGUGAUAAAUUCUGCUGCGGGCUGUCCGCCGAGAAGUUUUCAACCUCCUGUUGUACAUUAUUCUAGAGAAAGCAGUUGAUGUUAGUAUAAUCCUUUGAGAAGUUUAUUAAUCAACUUGCACGAAAAAGCCUGUAUCAAUGGCUUUCUUGUCUCGUGGAAUUCAAUUCUCCCUUUGAACAUGUCACAGUGCAGUGCCCCUCUCAGAGUUAGCAUAGUUGAGCAUCUUGUGAUCGCUGGAGUAGCUAGCCCAGCCACGGCAUACUGAGCUCGUCUUUUUGUUUCAAAGGCUGAUUCAGACAGCUUAGGAUCUCAGCUCUUUAAAAUUACAUUGACAUGAAUCGUACUGCCUACAAGCUGCCACUCCUGGUGUAAUUUUGAUUUCCAGAUCCUACAAGGUUCUGUAUCUUAAAGAGUUAUAUUCAAAAUGCCUUUGCACACCUGGACCUUUUAGUGACUGAACGUUUGCCCUUAACGUAGGGGCAAUGGUGAACAAAAGGCCAAGUCCUUUCAGGAAUGCUCAGAGUGUGAGAGAGAGGCUUCCUUUUUCAGGACUGCUAGACUUGACAUAGAAAGCCAAAGGGAAGAGGAUGCAUCUGGCUCAGAGCACUGGGGAGCUGCUUCCGGUUUACGGUUUCUUUUGUAGAUAAUAAGAGAAUGCACUCACUCACAGCUUGACUUCAACGUGGCAAAGAAUCCAAAGGAGACUCAAGUGUGAAAGGGCUGGGGACAAAUAAAAUUGCUAAUAGUUCAUUUAAAUCACAGAGUAUGGGAUUUCAGAGCCUCUGCAUAGGUCGCCUUAACCCAGACUUAAAUGUUAUAUAGAUAUUUUCAUCUUUAGAACUUACUGUCAGCCUUACUUUUGCUGUCUUAUUUACCAGAUUUGGUCAAUUGUAGAGAUUCUUAUAGACUAAGCAUAAUUUGAAAUUAUGUCUCUUCCUAGACUAUUAUCCACACAUCUUAUUGUUCAGUUGUAGAAGUAUUUUGCAUUUCUUCAACUUUAUAAACCACACAUACAGAGUUAGAGAGGCAUAAAGGAACAGAGUUCUGCUAGAGAGCAUUCCUAGACUCA